rnacentral:rRNA from 1 species
UACGGGAGGCAGCAGUGGGGAAUAUUGCACAAUGGGGGAAACCCUGAUGCAGCGACGCCGCGUGGAGGAAGAAGGUCUUCGGAUUGUAAACUCCUGUCGUUGAGGAAGAUAAUGACGGUACUCAACAAGGAAGUGACGGCUAACUACGUGCCAGCAGCCGCGGUAAAACGUAGGUCACAAGCGUUGUCCGGAAUUACUGGGUGUAAAGGGAGCGCAGGCGGGCGAUCAAGUUGGAAGUGAAAUCCAUGGGCUCAACCCAUGAACUGCUUUCAAGACUGAUUGUCUCGAGUAGUGCAGAGGUAGGCGGAAUUCCCGGUGUAGCGGUGGAAUGCGUAGAUAUCGGGAGGAACACCAGUGGCGAAGGCGGCCUACUGGGCACCAACUGACGCUGAGGCUCGAAAGUGUGGGUAGCAAACAGGAUUAGAUACCCUGGUAGUCCACACCGUAAACGAUGAUUACUAGGUGUUGGAGGAUUGACCCCUUCAGUGCCGCAGUUAACACAAUAAGUAAUCCACCUGGGGAGUACGACCGCGAGGUUGCAACUCAAAGGAAUUGACGG